rnacentral:rRNA from 1 species
UACAGAGGUCUCAAGCGUUGUUCGGAUUCAUUGGGCGUAAAGGGUGCGUAGGUGGCGUCGUAAGUCAGGUGUGAAAUUUCGGAGCUUAACUCCGAAACUGCAUUUGAUACUGCGGUGCUUUGAGGACUGGAGAGGAGACUGGAAUUUACGGUGUAGCAGUGAAAUGCGUAGAGAUCGUAAGGAAGACCAGUGGCGAAGGCGGGUCUC